rnacentral:lncRNA from 1 species
UUUCAUCAUGGUAGGAGGGCACAGGCAGGGAGUCUGACUUACCAGGGUUUAUUUGAUGUUUAUGUUUUGUUUUAAAACAGGGUCUCAUGUAGCCCAGGCUGGCCUUAAACUCACUAUGUAGCCAGGGGCUAACUUUGAACUCCUGGUACUUCUGCUUCAAACUCCCAAGUGCUGGAUUUACAGAUAGGCAAUACCGUGUGCAGAUCCUAGGGUCUGAAAACCCUGCAGCUUCCUAAUGAAGGCCAGGUGCCUUGGCUGCCUCACGGGUGCACGGGAAACCUGCCUUCCAGCUUCUAGGGGAGGAAGCAUGAGGAUAGGCUCAGGCCCCGGAGGACAUCAGUGAUUCUAAGCUCCCUUGUCCCAGGUAAAUGCCAAAGUGUGGACAUGACAAAAAGAACUUUAAACCAAUUUCAGAUGCUGGUUGAUAACUGUAUUUUGUGAAGGCCUGGGCUAGCCAUUAUGAAAUUAGAAUUGAAAAAGGAAAUAUAUUUCAGGCCAUUAGUAGGGUUUGGAUUCCUCACAUUAAAAGAAGGGAGCACAAAUAUACAGAGUAAGGAAGAUGAUAUAGACACUGUAAUGCUGAGGUAGGAUUAGAGGUAGCCAUCUUUUUGUUAUCUAUAUGAAACUAGAGGAACAGAUGUAGGUGGAUCCGUCUCCAUGUCUUUCUAUGCACACACAAAGGCAUACAUACACACCAGCCCAUAGAUCUACAGCCUAAACCUGGAACAGUGGUCAUCAAAAGGGAUGAACACUUAGAUGUUGGCUACUAAAUGCCUAUUUCACUAUGAACAACUGAAGAAAUGGCUGAUUGUAUGGCUGGAUCAGAGAAGGCAAAGGUUUGAGACUGGAAAUUCUUAAGUUGCCAGAAAAAUAUACAGUACAAAAAAAAUUAUGACACGACAAAACACAAAAGGCAGCCUGAAGGGUUCUCACUGGCCAAACCCAAGGGGAAAUGAGCAUCAAGGCAGAACCUGAUACAAUGGCACAUCACCAUAGUUGGGAGGCUGAGGCAGGAGGAGCACAAGUUCAAGGCCAGCCUACACUAACUCAAAAUUAAGGUAAGAUGUUAUGCCAAACUUAAUGACCUGAAUAAAUAAAUAUGGGAAAUAAUUUCCAAGGCAGAAUCACUAGGGGAUACUAUGUCUGGGGCUGAAUGGGCAAAGUGAGGAAUACCAAGGUUACUUACAAGGUUUCCAAGUGUCCUGCCAUACAGUGACUUUAUUGUGAGAAACAUACCAAAUAUGUCCUUAUCCAAGAGAACAAAGUGAGUAUCGGCAGCUGUAUACUUUAAGCUAUGACUUAAUGUUUCCCUGGUGUGGCAGACUGAGAAGGUGAGAAAAUGUGUCUUCAAUAUUCGUAUACAAAUGCAUAAGCUUAGCUCUACUAUAAGGGACCUUCAGAGAAACUCAAAUCAAAGGAUUUCCUACAAAACAAGUGCCUUAUGUUCUUCACAAAUGUCUGUGGAGGGGCUGAAGAGAUGGCUCAGUGGUGAAGAACACUGGCUGUUUCUCCAGAGGUCAUGAGUUGAAUUCUCAGCAACCAUGUGGUAGCUCACAACCAUCUGUAAUAGAAUCUGAUGCCCUUUCUGGUGUACAGACAAACAUGUGGAUCAAGCACUCCUAUACACAAAUAAACAAAUCUUUAAAU